rnacentral:rRNA from 1 species
UGCGCAGGCGGUUGUGUAAGACAGGUGUGAAAUCCCCGGGCUUAACCUGGGAACUGCGCUUGUGACUGCACAGCUAGAGUAUGGCAGAGGGGGGUGGAAUUCCACGUGUAGCAGUGAAAUGCGUAGAGAUGUGGAGGAACACCGAUGGCGAAGGCAGCCCCCUGGGCCAAUACUGACGCUCAUGCACGAAAGCGUGGGGAGCAAACA